rnacentral:lncRNA from 1 species
AGCUGUGAGUGCCAAAGGUUUAACAAAAAUUGAUGGGAAAAACUUAACAUUGAGAAAAUUGUAUCUUUGAGCAUAAUUUGGACAAGCUUCCACUAUUCUAUUUUAGUGAAGGAACAUUUCUUUCCAACUUCGGAGUGCCACUGAAGUUCAGUCUGCAGGGAGAGCUGGGUUGGGUGCUGGGGUUAGGGUGGGAGUAGGUGGGAUGGGGUGGGGGUGAGGGAGGUGAGUUUGGAGGAAGUUGGGUAGGGGCUGUGUAUUGGGGAUCUGAGGAAUUUGGGUCUGAUUCUUCAAGCCAUGGUAAGUUGUAGAGUAAAGGAGUGACAAAUGGAAGGGGGAAAUUUGGGAACGACAAACCUGAUGAGGGUGAAGGGUAGGUUGAAGUGCAUCAUAGCAGAGAGGUGAGAGAAAGAGAGCACAGACCUGGCUGAAGAGAUGGGGGAUCAGAAAAAGCAUUCUUCAGAUGCCUUCUUGUCCCGGCUCAGAACACCCCAAAGCUCAGAGGAACAGGACUGGGUUCACAAGGAAGAACAGGGAAGCUGUCUGGGCUAUCAACACUCUUCAGUGUCUUGGAAUCAACCCAGCAUGUCCUGCUGCUGCUGCUUUCUGCCUCUGCUAGCUUGGAUCCGGUAGGAAGAACAGAGUUUUACAUUCCUUCAGCACACCAGGGAUUUGUUCAUCAGGGCUGAUCUUGAAUGGUGGAGAUAGAUUCAAGCCAUUUUGAGCCCAGGUCCAGGGUAAACAAGUAACAGAAUCCUGUAGGCUGUUACAUUUGUUGUUUUAAAAAGACUUGGUACAUUAUUUGUAAGGGAGUGCCGUGGGAAGUAAAAUAGUUCUUUCAGCUGGCAGGCAUGCCUAUCUGUCAUGAUACUUAAAAAAAAUUAAACUUAUGGCCUAAUUCCAAUCAGAGAGGUUUCAGAUAUUUAAUAAUCUCAUUUGUUACAGUUUCUCCAAAAGCAUUUGUUUUUGUUAAGUUUUAAAAUCAAUCUUCUCCAUUCACCCUAAUUGGGAGUUACAAAGACAUUUUAAAUUGUAAAAUCAUUCUAUAUCCAUUGUAUACAGUUAGGGAAAUAUAAAAAAUAAUUACAAAUAAACUAAACAUCCAUCAUUCUAGAAAUGAAUACUGUUAACAUUUAAGCAUAUUUCCUCCCUGUCUUUUUUUCUUGCUGUUUUACAUAAUGGAGAUUUUAAAAGAUAAAAAGCUUUGUAUUUUUUCCUAGUAUUAUGUCAUAGGAGUGGCUCUAGGUUAUUAAACAUUCUUCAAAAACUCAAUUUUUAAAGUUUGCUUAGUAUGUCUUCUUAUAGCUAUAAUAUGAUUUGCUUGUUUCCCUAAUGUUGAUUGAGUAUUAGGCUGUUUCCAAUUUUUUGAGGUUAAAAAAAACACUACCGUGAAUAUCUUUGUGUGUGUGUGUGUGUGUGUGUGUGUGUGUUUGUGUGUGUUUUAGUAUAGGUAUGACAGUAGGCGAUCUGGCUACAUUCUGUUGCCUAUUUUAGAUGGGGAUAGGACUGCCCCCUUGCCAUUAUGAAUGACAGCUGUCAGCCAAAGAGAGGGCUGCGCUAGAGACUGUCAAUCUGGCUCCUGGGAGAAGGGAUAACACUCAGCACAGGAAUGUUGUAAACACGUUAGGGAGGUCUUGCAAUUCCACUUUGAAAUGGAGGAACCUAAACUACAAUCCAUUUUCACAUGAGGUCGGGUUUGUUCAGGGUGGUAUGGCCAUAGAUAACAAUCCAUUUUCAAAGGAAACAGAGGUUUUCAAAAAGCCUUUUGAAUGGACUGGGCUAGUAUUGUGUGAUUUUUAAAUUAAAUUACACAUGUUAAAAAUGGGCGAUCUAAUGAAAUAGAGAAUAGAGGUUACUUUGAAUGAUAAACUAGUAGGAAUAGUAUUCGUGAAGUUCCAGGCAGGCUGACUUCCUUGGUGAGUUCACCGGGGUGACAGGACGAGUGUUGGAGUUGGCAAAGCAGAAUUCUAAUACCAGCUGGGCCAUAUUGGGCAGGUUGCUUGAUGUCUCUGAGCCUCAGAUUCCCCACUAACAAAAUGAGGCUGAUAAUGACACUAAUAUUUCUCACCUGCAGUUUGUUGUUGAGAGGAUUUAAACACCAAGGGAGGAUCAGUAAAUGGCAGCUAAGGCUGUGCCCUAAGGGAUGGCUGAGGCUUGUUCUUAACCCAGAAUUCAAAAUAGGCCUGCCUGACCUCAGGACAGCGCAACACAAGAGACUUGCACGUACAGAACAUGGAUGUAAAGAGGGAAUCCUGGGUUAUAGUUUCAGAAUCCACUGUGGGGAUCUUAAACCCUCUCUCUUCAGCCUUUAAUAAAUGAUUUAAUUUGCACACUGGACAGUUCAACACUAUUUUUUUUUUUUUUUUUUUUUUGCCCCAGCCUGUGAAAAGGGACGGGGUUGGGCUAAGGCAACGUUGAAACAUUGCAUUCCUCUGCCAGAAGCUUAAAAACCCUGCAAUCAAACCCGAGGCCCUAUGCGGAAACAAGUGUAUCCGAUGACAGCUUAUUAUGGAAGGUUCUGAACUUCUAAGAAUUCCUUAGUAGGAGACAAACAAAAUACAAAGAUAUCCUCCUAAUUUUCUGCGACUGGGAAUUUUUGUUUUUCUCUUCCUCACUUCUCCCAUCCAUUCUGCAUGUUUGUUAAAAUGUAGGCACACAGGGUCCACGGUGUGUGGUACUUGAGUGGGCAAAAGGCUAGUUCAGCUGGCCAGCGAGGCAGACAAGACGUGGUUCAACACACGCAUUGCUGGGAGCUGGGACUUCUCCUUCAUUAGUUAAACAUGGGCAUGAAGUAAAGAUUUCUGGUGUGUGUGUCUGUGUGUUUUCAAACGGCAGGUUCAGCACUUCUAAGUACAUAGCAUGAUAGGAAGAGAAGUCUGUAAUCACCUCUCAUGUCUGGGGUCCUGAUGGGCCCAGAGCAGAUUUGAUUUACGUUAUCUUCAAGCGGGAAACUUGUCAUCCAGUCUUCAUUUGCCCUUCUCUCUGGGCAGGAAAGAGCUCCAUUUUUCCCGCUCCACAGAGGACAUUUUAUUUUUGCAGUUCUUUGAAGUGCCCUCAGAGAUCUAAGCACCAGGCUGAAGGCAGCUCUGUGUAUCCUUGCAACAGAUUAGAACAUAUUCACAUUUUAUUUGCUCACAGAACAAAUAUUUCCCUUGGAAUGAGACCGAGGCAGUGGAGCAGGACCAGGCAGGACCAGCCACCAAAGACGGCCCCCCAGGCCCCAUGCUGGGCCUGCUCAGCGCCUGCACAAUUGGUUCCACAUAAUUGCUUCUCCACACUCACCUCAUUUAGGCCCUAUAGACACAUAUGGGCUGAUUAGUUGAGUCAUUUAUUGAUUCAGGAAUAUUUGUCGAGCCUCAACAAUGUACCAAACACUAUGCUGGUUACAGAAAUAAAGAGAGAAACACAUUCUGUCCUCAAGGGGCUCCUAAUCAAGUAGGGGAGAGAAGCAAUGUCUGUAUAUUAAUGAAUCAAAUCAAGGUGACAAAGAUAAGGCUUCAGAACCCAGGAGACAAAGUGUUUGAGGCCGAAGCUCCCUAGCGCUGGGGCCUCCACUCUGGGAAGGGCCCUGUGGGUGAAUCUCUGAGCGUUUACUGGGCUCCUUCUCUACCUGGGCUGCCGCACCCAGAACAGUUCUUAGAGUUUCCAGCCUCCUGAGCUCGCGGAAUAGCAAAGGUGGGUUCUACUGGACUUGGGGCAGAGGAGGUCUAAAUGUGAGAAUCCCUGAGGCAAAUGUUAGAAGAAAGGGCAGUGCGGCCGGGCAGGGGAUCUCCAGCUCUCUCACAAUGCAUGGCUGCCCUGGCUAGAUCUGGGCUGUGUGGAGCUGUUUAAACAACGAACAAGGGGCCAGGCACGGUGGCUCACGCCUGUAAUCCCAGCACUUUGGGAGGCCAA